rnacentral:rRNA from 1 species
AUGGGAACGCGAAGAACCUUACCUACUCUUGACAUCCAGAGAACUUUCCAGAGAUGGAUUGGUGCCUUCGGGAACUCUGAGACAGGUGCCGCAUGGCUGUCGUCAGCUCGUGUUGUGAAAUGUUGGGUUAAGUCCCGCAACGAGCGCAACCCGUUAUCCUUGUUGCCAGCGGUUAGGCCGGGAACUCAAAGGAGACUGCCAGUGAUAAACUGGAGGAAGGUGGGGAUGACGUCAAGUCAUCAUGGCCCUUACGAGUAGGGCUACACACGUGCUACAAUGGCGCAUACAAAGAGAAGCGACCUCGCGAGAGCAAGCGGACCUCAUAAAGUGCGUCGUAGUCCGGAUUGGAGUCUGCAACUCGACUCCAUGAAGUCGGAAUCGCUAGUAAUCGUAGAUCAGAAUGCUACGGUGAAUACGUUCCCGGGUCUUGUACACACCGAGUCGUGGGAGGCAAGGGCACACAGGGGGGGGGA